rnacentral:rRNA from 1 species
CCUACGGGAGGCUGCAGUAGGGAAUCUUCCACAAUGGGCGAAAGCCUGAUGGAGCAACGCCGCGUGGGUGAAGAAGGUCUUCUGAUCGUUAAACCCUGUUGUUCGAGAAGAAAGUGCGUGAGAGGAACUGUUCACGUUUCGACGGUAUCUAACCAGAAAGCCACGGCUAACUACGUCCCAGCAGCCGCGGUAAUACGUAGGUGGCAUGCGUUAUCCGGAUUUAUUGGGCGUAAAGGUAACGCGGGCGGUCUUUUAAGUCUGAUGUGAAAGCCUUCGGCUUAAACGGAGUAGUGCAUUGGAAACUGGGAGACUUGAGUGCAGAAGAAGAGAGUGGAA